rnacentral:rRNA from 1 species
GACGAACGCUGGCGGCGUGCCUAAUACAUGCAAGUAGAACGCUGAAGGAGGAGCUUGCUUCUCUGGAUGAGUUGCGAACGGGUGAGUAACGCGUAGGUAACCUGCCUGGUAGCGGGGGAUAACUAUUGGAAACGAUAGCUAAUACCGCAUAAUAUUGACUAUUGCAUGAUAGUCAGUUGAAAGGUGCACCUGCACCACUACCAGAUGGACCUGCGUUGUAUUAGCUAGUUGGUGGGGUAACGGCUCACCAAGGCGACGAUACAUAGCCGACCUGAGAGGGUGAUCGGCCACACUGGGACUGAGACACGGCCCAGACUCCUACGGGAGGCAGCAGUAGGGAAUCUUCGGCAAUGGACGGAAGUCUGACCGAGCAACGCCGCGUGAGUGAAGAAGGUUUUCGGAUCGUAAAGCUCUGUUGUAAGAGAAGAACGAGUGUGAGAGUGGAAAGCUCACACUGUGACGGUAUCUUACCAGAAAGGGACGGCUAACUACGUG